GGAGAGACAGUUGGUGCGUGUGCAGCGGAAAGGACGGAGGAGGUGUAAGUAGGCAGCGAUGGUGAUGACAAGCGGAGGAAAGGAUCGGUGAGCUCCGAAACUGUGAAAUCACCCAGAGCAGACGAUACAGGAGAAGCGAGGAACUUACCAUUCACUGCCAAGCAGAGACACCAUCUAUUGUGCUGAGCUCCUGGAGAGAGCAGAGAGAGGAGCAGAUUGUAGCUGAGAGCCGGUGGCCGCCCUCUUGUGAGUCACAGUGAUGCGGAAGGAGGAGGUAACAAGGCCAUAUAAAAGGAUGAACAAGUGAGAGGAGAGCAGGAAGCACAUACUAGUGCUUCAGGUGCUGCCACCAGUUGUGACGAUACAUGUCUAUCAAUGUCAUCUACUAAGGCUGAUGCCCAAGUGCAUAGAGGGCUUAAGUCACGGGUGAUGAGGUUGGAAUAUAACAAAAAAAGGGGGAUGUCAGUGUGGAAGUAAGAAGAUAUAGAAGAAUGCCAUAUGGAUCACUUGAAGUCAAAUUCUGCUGGUAAAACGUGAUCAAUUGUACAGCCAAAUGUGUAAAUAUGCAGAUUAUCCAUGGAACAGUCUGAAAAUGUUUCUCAGCUCUACAGUAUGUUGAUAGUUUGCAAUUUGAUUAUUUAUGGGUUCUUUACUAUGAGUUUUUGAAUGUAAUGUUUCUCAUCAGACACUCCAUCCAACCUUCUAAAAAUGUACCCUGCUCACCUCAUAAAUAUAUAUGGCUUUCA